rnacentral:rRNA from 1 species
GGACCCGCACAAGCAGCGGAGCAUGUGGUUUAAUUCGAAGCAACGCGAAGAACCUUACCAGGUCUUGACAUCCUCUGACGAGCCUAGAGAUAGGAAGUUUCCUUCGGGAACAGAGAGACAGGUGGUGCAUGGUUGUCGUCAGCUCGUGUCGUGAGAUGUUGGGUUAAGUCCCGCAACGAGCGCAACCCCUGCCUUUAGUUGCCAGCAUUAAGUUGGGCACUCUAGAGGGACUGCCGUAGACAAUACGGAGGAAGGUGGGGAUGACGUCAAAUCAUCAUGCCCCUUAUGACCUGGGCUACACACGUGCUACAAUGGUCUGAACAGAGGGCCGCGAAGCCGCGAGGUGAAGCAAAUCCCUUAAAACAGAUCCCAGUUCGGAUUGCAGGCUGCAACUCGCCUGCAUGAAGUUGGAGUUGCUAGUAAUCGCGGAUCAGAAUGCCGCGGUGAAUGCGUUCCCGGGUCUU